GACGAACGCUGGCGGCGUGCCUAAUACAUGCAAGUUGAGCGCUGAAGGUUGGUACUUGUACCAACUGGAUGAGCAGCGAACGGGUGAGUAACGCGUGGGGAAUCUGCCUUUGAGCGGGGGACAACAUUUGGAAACGAAUGCUAAUACCGCAUAAAAACUUUAAACACAAGGUUUAAGUUUGAAAGAUGCAAUUGCAUCACUCAAAGAUGAUCCCGCGUUGUAUUAGCUAGUUGGUGAGGUAAAGGCUCACCAAGGCGAUGAUACAUAGCCGACCUGAGAGGGUGGUCGGCCACAUUGGGAAUGAGACACGGCCCAAACUCCUACGGGAGGCAGCAGUAGGGAAUCUUCGGCAAUAGACGAAAGUCUGACCGAGCAACGCCGCGUGAGUGAAGAAGGGUUUCGGAUCGUAAAACUCUGUUGGUAGAGAAGAACGUUGGUGAGAGUGGAAAGCUCAUCAAGUGACGGUAACUACACAGAAAGGGACGGCUAACUACGUG
rnacentral:rRNA from 1 species